GAUGAACGCUGGCGGCGUGCCUAAUACAUGCAAGUCGAGCGAACAGACGAGGAGCUUGCUCCUCUGACGUAAGCGGCGGACGGGUGAGUAACACGUGGAUAACCUACCUAUAAGACUGGGAUAACUUCGGGAAACCGGAGCUAAUACCGGAUAAUAUAUUGAACCGCAUGGUUCAAUAGUGAAAGACGGUUUUGCUUUCACUUAUAGAUGGAUCCGCGCCGCAUUAGCUAGUUGGUAAGGUAACGGCUUACCAAGGCAACGAUGCGUAGCCGACCUGAGAGGGUGAUCGGCCACACUGGAACUGAGACACGGUCCAGACUCCUACGGGAGGCAGCAGUAGGGAAUCUUCCGCAAUGGGCGAAAGCCUGACGGAGCAACGCCGCGUGAGUGAUGAAGGUCUUCGGAUCGUAAAACUCUGUUAUUAGGGAAGAACAAAUGUGUAAGUAACUAUGCACGUCUUGACGGUACCUAAUCAGAAAGCCACGGCUAACUACGUG
rnacentral:rRNA from 1 species